rnacentral:rRNA from 1 species
GUGCCAUUGACAGAAGAUGAAUAAAGUAAUGUGUGGGAAACUGCCUGAUGGAGGGGGAUAACUACUGGAAACGGUAGCUAAUACCGCAUAACGUCGCAAGACCAAAGAGGGGGACCUUCGGGCCUCUUGCCAUCACAUGUGCCCACAUGGGAUUAUCUAUUAGGUGGGGUAACGGCUCACCUAGGCGACAAUCCCUAUCUGGUCUGAGAGGAUGACCACCCACACUGGAACUGAGACACGGUCCACACUCCUACGGGAGGCAGCAGUGGGGAAUAUUGCACAAUGGGCGCAAGCCUGAUGCACCCAUGCCGCGUGUAUGAAAAAAGCCUUCGGGUUGUAAAGUACUUUCACCGGGGAGGAAGGUGUUGUGGUUAAUAACCCCACCAAUUGACGUUACCCGCACAAAAAACACCGGCUAACUCCGUGCCACCAGCCGCGGUAAUACGGAGGGUGCAAGCGUUAAUCGGAAUUACUGGGCGUAAAGCGCACGCAGGCGGUCUGUCAAGUCGGAUGUGAAAUCCCCGGGCUCAACCUGGGAACUGCAUUCUAAACUGGCAGGCUGGAGUCUUGUAGAGGGGGGUAGAAUUCCAGGUGUAGCGGUGAAAUGCGUAUAGAUCUGGAGGAAUACCGGUGGCGAAAGCGGCCCCCUGUACAAAGACUGACGCUCAGGUGCGAAAGCGUGGGGAGCAAACAGGAUUAUAUACCCUGGUAGUCCACGCCGUAUACGAUGUCGAUUUGGAGGUUGUGCCCUUGAGGCGUGGCUUCCGGAGCUAACGCGUUAAAUCGACCGCCUGGGGGAGUACAGCCGCAAGGUUAAAACUCACAUGAAUUGACGGGGGCCCGCACAAGCGGUGGAGCAUGUGGUUUAAUUCUAUG